AACGAACGCUGGCGGCAUGCCUAACACAUGCAAGUCGAACGAGACCUUCGGGUCUAGUGGCGCACGGGUGCGUAACGCGUGGGAACCUGCCCUUAGGUUCGGAAUAACUCCCCGAAAGGGGUGCUAAUACCGGAUAAUGUCUUCGGACCAAAGAUUUAUCGCCUUUGGCUGGGCCCGCGUUGGAUUAGCUAGUUGGUAGGGUAAAAGCCUACCAAGGCGACGAUCCAUAGCUGGUCUGAGAGGAGGAUCAGCCACACUGGGACUGCGACACGGCCCAGACUCCUACGGGAGGCAGCAGUGGGGAAUAUUGGACAAUGGGCGAAAGCCUGAUCCGGCAAUGCCGCGUGAGUGAUGAAGGCCUUAGGGUUGUAAAGCUCUUUUACCCGGGAUGAUAAUGACAGUACCGGGAGAAUAAGCUCCGGCUAACUCCGUG
rnacentral:rRNA from 1 species